UACGUAGGGUGCGAGCGUUGUCCGGAAUUAUUGGGCGUAAAGAGCUCGUAGGCGGUCUGUCGCGUCGAAUGUGAAAACCCGGGGCUCAACUCCGGGCUUGCAUUCGAUACGGGCAGGCUAGAGUUCGGUAGGGGAGACUGGAAUUCCUGGUGUAGCGGUGGAAUGCGCAGAUAUCAGGAGGAACACCGGUGGCGAAGGCGGGUCUCUGGGACGGUACUGACGCUGAGACGCGAAAGCGUGGGGAGCGAACAGG
rnacentral:rRNA from 1 species